GACGAACGCUGGCGGCGUGCCUAAUACAUGCAAGUUGAGCGAUGAAGAUUGGUGCUUGCACCAAUUUGAAGAGCAGCGAACGGGUGAGUAACGCGUGGGGAAUCUGCCUUUGAGCGGGGGACAACAUUUGGAAACGAAUGCUAAUACCGCAUAACAACUUUAAACAUAAGUUUUAAGUUUGAAAGAUGCAAUUGCAUCACUCAAAGAUGAUCCCGCGUUGUAUUAGCUAGUUGGUGAGGUAAAGGCUCACCAAGGCGAUGAUACAUAGCCGACCUGAGAGGGUGAUCGGCCACAUUGGAACUGAGACACGGCCCAAACUCCUACGGGAGGCAGCAGUAGGGAAUCUUCGGCAAUGGACGAAAGUCUGACCGAGCAACGCCGCGUGAGUGAAGAAGGUUUUCGGAUCGUAAAACUCUGUUGGUAGAGAAGAACGUUGGUGAGAGUGGAAAGCUCAUCAAGUGACGGUAACUACCCAGAAAGGGACGGCUAACUACGUG
rnacentral:rRNA from 1 species